GACGAACCACACAAACGUUAUUCGGAAUUACUGGGCUUAAAGAGUUCGUAGGCGGCCUGAAAAGUAGGGUGUGAAAGCCCUCGGCUCAACCGAGGAAUUGCGCUCUAAACUGUCGUGCUCGAGGAACCUAGAGGUGAGCAGAACAGAUGGUGGAGCGGUGAAAUGCGUUGAUAUCAUCUGGAACACCGGUGGCGAAGGCGGCCUGCUGGGCAGUGGCUGACGCUGAGGCGCGACAGCGUGGGGAGCAAACAGG
rnacentral:rRNA from 1 species